rnacentral:rRNA from 1 species
AUGAACGCUGGCGGCGUGCCUCAUACAUGCCAGUCGAGCGCACAGACGAGGAGCUUGCUCCUCUGACGUUAGCGGCGGACGGGUGAGUAACACGUGGAUAACCUACCUAUAAGACUGGGAUAACUUCGGGAAACCGGAGCUAAUACCGGAUAAUAUAUUGAACCGCAUGGUUCAAUAGUGAAAGACGGUUUUGCUGUCACUUAUAGAUGGAUCCGCGCCGCAUUAGCUAGUUGGUAAGGUAACGGCUUACCAAGGCAACGAUGCGUAGCCGACCUGAGAGGGUGAUCGGCCACACUGGAACUGAGACACGGUCCAGACUCCUACGGGAGGCAGCAGUAGGGAAUCUUCCGCAAUGGGCGAAAGCCUGACGGAGCAACGCCGCGUGAGUGAUGAAGGUCUUCGGAUCGUAAAACUCUGUUAUUAGGGAAGAACAAAUGUGUAAGUAACUAUGCACGUCUUGACGGUACCUAAUCAGAAAGCCACGGCUAACUACGUG